CCACGGCCGUAGCUGCAUCUUUGUGCUUUCAGCUUCUUUACAGUGCUGCCUUGUUGCAUUCAUGUCAAGCAGCAUUGUACAGGGCUAUGAAAGAGCAGAGACAUGCUCUGCACUCCAUCC
rnacentral:pre_miRNA from 12 species